UACAGGGUCUCACUCUGUCACCCAGGCUGGAGUGCAGUGGCAAGAUCACAGCUCACUAUAGCCUCAACUUACCAAGGUCAAGUGAUUCUCCCAUCUCCGCCUUUCAAGCAGUUGGGACUAAAGGCACUCGCCACCACACUUGGCUUUUUUUUUUUGUUUGUUUGUUUGCAUUUGUGUAGUAGUACUGGGGUUUCGCCAUGUUGCCCGGCUGGUAUUGAACUCCUGGACUCAAGAGAUCUGCCUGCCUCUGCCUCCCAAAGCGCUGGGAUUACAGGCAUGUACCACCACACCCUGCCCAAGCCCAUUCAUUUAUAAGCCCUGGCUGCGACAUGUUCUCUUAACACAAAGUUGCUGCUUCCAAUUCUGAUGUAUAACGAAGGAGUCAUAAAAAGACACUCGACUCGGCACACAAGGACAAGCCCUCCCAGUCACCAGACCACACGACCUGGAAGACUUCACUUCCCUCCAGGGUCCUCAUUUACAGUGUGGUGACCUCAUUACCCACCUCCCAGGAUAGUUCAUCAUUAAUAAAUGAGCCGUCGCUAGAAUGCCAAGUGCUCCCCACCUGCAGGGGCGCUCCUGUCACCAAGGCCUGAGCUCUGGAGCAUUUGUACAUUUCAUGUGUGGCUGCAUAUGGCAGAAGAAUGUGAGAAUUAGCACACAAUCUUCCAAACCAGACCUAAAUAUGUUUGCGUGUGGUGUCACACAGUUAUGUCUUUUAAGGUCUCAAUUUCCUUCUUUGAGAAAUGACGAAAAUCACAGAGUCUGCCCCUCAUGGUUGUUGUGAGGAUUUAACAUGAUCUUGGACACAAAGUGCUCAGCACAGCACCUGGCACACGGCGACUGCUCAAAGGUGCUGACUGGUGUCCUCUGGUCAUAAGUCACAUGAGCAUUUGGAAACACUGUGUUCCAUUCAUUGAUCUACCACCCUGGAAAAAGAUUUAAAAAUCAAUCAACAAACUGUUCCUGAAAACUUACCAUGGCUUGGCCCUGUACUGGAAGCCAAUAAGACGCACGAGGCGAGGCCCUUGGGCAGUGGCUCAGGCUGUGCAGCACCCAGGCGAACUCCAACCGAUGUGGCCCCAGGGACUCAUGGGGUUAGAUUGCAAAUGGCAGAUCCAAAAUCAUUUUGUAUGUUUUUGGAGGAAACAUUUGUCCCUGAGAUCAUCACUAAAGUGGAAUUUCAUCAACGGUAAUUGCUGGGUACGUCCUUGAUAGACCAGCAAUGCUCAUGCGUGGGUAGCCAUUGUCCUGUGUAUACAGCAUGUGCAGGACUCUUACUUGCUCCCUCCUACUCAGUCUUCAUUGAGAGGGAAGAAAGCGCCCUUGGAGAAGGCCAGAUUUGCAGCCAGAUGCGUGUGAGGCAUGGCUGGGGACCCAGGCAUGGCCGUGUUGGGAUGGCCUGGAGGGAAGUGCCCAGGAGAAUGACAAGAGUCACUUCAUCACUGUCACAGCCAGGAAGUCUCCCUGACCCCACGGCAUGCAGCAUCCCACUAUCAUGGUGAUACAUCUCUGCUGGUUACAUAUGUACCUCCCCCACAGUCUUUGAUCCUGAAUGCACAGCUCUCCCCUAAUCACUAGCCAAGAGGACUCUGCCUGCCUGGUGCUUGAACAAUGUAAGCAAUUUUCCAGACACACUGCCCUCUGAAAUAAUUGAAUGUCACAUGAAAAGGCCAGGAUGUGUUGAUGAGGGCCCAAGUCAACCCCACCAUGGCCAGCAGAAUAACGCAUGGUUAUCUUGGUGACAUCUACCCUGACGUGUCAGUCAUCUGCACCCAUAAGCCAGCACUGGGCGGCUGAAAUACAGACCAUGGAUGAUCCUGUCUGGCCGUUCCCACUACAAACAAGGGACACACGCCCUUUGCGUAGUAUCAUCAGAGUCCUUUGCUAAAGCCAUAAUUGCCUUAAAUAGGAACUGGCAGAAGUGAGGACACAUGAAAUAUGAUUUGAGAAGGUGCCUGGGUUGGGGCCUUACUUGGGGAGAAGAAGUUGAGUUCUAGAUGCUUUAGUGACUUCUGAGUCUGUGUCAGUGUCAGCGCAUUGUCCUUCUCCACUCACGGAAGCUCACAGGCCCUAAACUAAGCUCAGGUGCUGCUGUCCAUCCAAACCCUCCUCACUCCUCUCCUCCUCCUGCCCCUUUGGUCUGACCCAGAUGCGCUCACAGCAUCUUGCCUCACCCUAUCCCUAUGGAUCCUAGGACUGUGAGUGAAACGCCAGUGGCAUCUGAAAGCAUUUAACAUAGAAGCUAGAGCUGCACAGCCGGCCUCGAUUCACACAGCACAGGCUGCUCCGUGGGGUCACACAGGGCCCUCGUGAUAAGAAUACAACCAACAACGGCAUGGUCACCACACUGUAUCAGGAGGGAAUGACUCAACGGUGACUUCCGAGGGUUUGCGGAGGGAGCUUAAACCAUUUCCCAGGAAGGGGGUCGAUCGUGAUCCCAAUGACACAAUCCCGAACUCCAUAAUCCCGAAUGUUGACAUCCCGGAAGAUCAAAAUCUCAACAAGGACAUGGUUCUCCUCGGAGGAUACGUUCACAUUCAUUUCCAUGUGGCUCUGCUCUUCUGGAAUUCUUCUGUGAUUCAACACACAGCUGCAUGAGCCCUCUUCAACCUUCACAUCUUCUGUGCCAUGCGUCCACAUUGUUUUAGGUAUGAGGAAAUCCAUCUGGAUGCUUUCAUACGCAGACCGUGGAUUGGUGGGAACCGCGCUGGCGACAGAACGGCAAAACCGUUGUGUAGGUGUCUUCUUUUUUUUGUUUUCUUUUUUUUUUUCUUUUGAGACGCAGUCUUGCUCUGUCG
rnacentral:lncRNA from 1 species